AGCUGGAAUCGCUAGUAAUCGCGGAUCAGAAUGCCGCGGUGAAUACGUUCCCGGGUCUUGUACACACCGCCCGUCACACCAUGGGAGUCGGAAAUGCCCGAAGUCUGUGACCCAACCUACGGGAGGGAGCAGCCGAAGGCAGGUCGGAUGACUGGGUGAAGUCGUAACAAGGUACC
rnacentral:rRNA from 1 species